rnacentral:rRNA from 1 species
UACGAAGGGGGCUAGCGUUGCUCGGAAUCACUGGGCGGAAAGGGCGCGUAGGCGGCGUUUUAAGUCGGGGGUGAAAGCCUGUGGCUCAACCACAGAAUGGCCUUCGAUACUGGGACGCUUGAGUAUGGUAGAGGUUGGUGGAACCGCGAGUGUAGAGGUGAAAUUCGUAGAUAUUCGCAAGAACACCGGUGGCGAAGGCGGCCAACUGGACCAUUACUGACGCUGAGGCGCGAAAGCGUGGGGAGCAAACAGG